UUUGAAAACCUCACAUCACAUCGCGUCACGUUGUGCAUAUCAUCCUUAUCUUAUCGCUUCCCGGAAGCAGAACGCCACAGAACCUUUCUCUCCACUGCAACGCAUUCCCAAAAGCUGUCUGGACGCAUAGUUUAAGGUCAAUCUUUCUUUCAUGGAUUUCUCCGUCUCGUUCUCAAUGAGCAGGGUGAAAGCCUUUCUGUGUCCUGCUCUAGAAUGCUUCCCCCCUUUAACAACGGAAUGAGCGCAGAAUGUUACCAUAGGAACCACUGACAGAGCACCAUGAAAGCUAAGGAUGAUGAAAGAAGCUGGGAAAGCAAUAUUUGAACAUCACCCUUCAUUUCCCCUCCCCUCAAUUUGUCCGCAAUGUUACUUUGAAUAAACAUUAACAAUGCAUAUUUAAUGCAAGGGAAUUAAAAACAGGUGAAUGGUACAACACAAAUAAAGUGAAAUGGCUAUAAACCACAUAGUCAAGCAGUGAAAGAGUGGAGGGGCAUGAAAAUAUCUGUAUCUGCAGAUUCCCCCACAGCCAUGGGAACUGAGGGAGAAGGAAAAAGGAGACUAAGACCUCUGCUGCUUCUUCCUAGUCCAGAAGCUGUAGUGAAAUGUGCACACUGGAGAGCCACUGUAUAUGUAAAUUCUUUGUUUGUUAGAGUGAUAGCAAAAAAUGAUAGAAGCUUUUAUAGUGUUCAGUUUCAGGUCCCUCCUUUUAACCCUUUCCCCUCCACAAAAAAAAAAAAAUGAAUUCCUCCACCUCUGCAAAGUGCUUAAUGGACUACUCCUGUUGGAGAGCUGAGAAGUAUCUGCCCUGCCUCACUUGGCCUUGACUGGCUCCCUCUCAAGCCAGCGUACGCGCACCCUCUGCUUAUAGUGAUACUCCCUGAGGUAGUCCCGCAGAGCAGGGGGCAUUGGCAGUGCCCCGAUGCCAUCGUAGGUGAUCCCAUUGCAAAUGGCUGAUCGAGCCAGGCUUUGCAGGCCAAAUGGGAAGGUCCGGUGCAGAGGCACAGUGAGCAAUGGCUCAAAGAACAUGCAAGCGCUAGGGUCCUUGUAGUGUUCCAAGAGUGCCGUGACGGUGGCUGCAUGGAACACGCAAGGGUCGUGUGCAUCAAAGCUGAAGUUGUGAUUCCACUGCUCAAUGCGUGCGUGCAGCGAACGGCCAUAGCGACGGAAGCUAACGGAAAACAGGUAGUCUUCUUGAGCCGAGUCUCGCAGGAGAAAGGUUCCCUCGGGCCGACCAUCCAGCAGGGCUUCAGCCUCAUAACGGUCCAUCACACCCCAGUAGCAGGGAAGUGCUGUGAUCUGUAGCAGAUCUGGAACCAAGCAGUGGAUGUAGUCAAUCUGAGUGUGUACCUUCCAAGGCCCCUGUUGCUUGCUGCUCAGGAGGCCCUCCGCCGAAGCGUGUCGCUGCUUGGGCCUGCGAGCUUGCAAGCAAAGAGUGGUGGUAUCAUCGUCCUCAGAGUCACAGUUAGCUGCUGUUGCCCCCCGGCUAUCGCCUAGGGCCUCACCCAUUCCAGGGGCCAACUUAGGUCCCAGUUUAUAAAGGGAAGCCAGAGGGGCUGUGAUAGCCUCCACUGUGUGGAUUUGGGCAUCUGGAGGUGGGUCAACACCCUCCUCGAUGCUGAGUCGUCUUCUCUCUCUCAAGCGCUCCUCCUCAUCUUCCGGCGAUGCACAGGUAGCACCGCAAGCAUCUGAGGAUGAAUCUACUGGUGUCAUUGUGACUGGUGCUGUGUGCUGUUUAAUGAGGUGCCAUUUUCGAGCAAGGUCUGAUCCUGGUGCGAAGGGGCAUGUCUCCAGCAUCAGCUCUGUGAUUUGUAUCUUACGUUUGGGUGGUGGAAGGUGACUGUUCCGAGAGGAUGAGCGCAGUGGGAGGCACAGGCCCACUGUAUCAUGAAUCUGCUGCCGUAGGGAACGUGCUGCCCCUGACUCCAGCUCCUCACGGCUGCUACCAGUCCCACGUCUGCGCCGAGACCGGCCUGAUCGCCGAUCUGUGGUCUCCAGAGAACUCUGAGCCUUAGUGGAACAUGAGUGUCUCUUCUUUCCACUCCAAGGUGCAUGACGUGAGUAAGAGUCUCUGCGGGCUCCCAAGAGAGCACGAGCAUCUUCGGUAUCCUGCUCGACUGUGAUCUCUAGUAUCUGGGGUACAUCCACUACACAGUUAUGGCCCUGUCGUGUCACACUCCCACCGGUCCUCCAUACUACUAGAGGGAGUGCCGCCACACUGCUAGAAGGACUAGCAGCCUCCAGUGUGUUGUCUCCCUGGGCCUUGUCCACACUCUGGCAUACUGUGUCUGUUUGCGGUUGAAGCUGUGGUGGCGUUUCAAAUCGAGAACCCCCAUCUGUGUGGAGCAGAGAUUGACAUCCCUUCUUAAGGUUGCUCCACACCUUGCCAACCUUCUCCAUGAGGUGGGGGCACCUGGAUCUGGAACAAAAAGUCAGACUUCUAUUAGUAUAUGAUGACAAAUCCCAAUGAGAUGUCCCAUUUAUACGUCUAUCUUG
ensembl:lncRNA